GCUGCGGUGUUCGAAGUACAAACAACUAAAGAUAUCGAAGCGAUACUCGUAGAGACUCUGAAGUCUGAGCUGAGCCGAGCUCCGAAAAAAAGAAAAAAAUGGAAAACGUGGAGAAGAUCAAGUUCGUAUUCACAGUUGCUUGCUUUGCUGCAAUCUCAUUCUUCGUCACCACAACUUAUCGGAGACGUCGUAAACAGAAGUUUUCUGCAAAUCUCUGCUACCUGGAGAAAGAGCAGAAGCCACAGAAUACCUUCAAACGUUUAUUGGCUGAUAACUCAUAUAUUCCAUUCAAACACUUCAAUCGAAAUGAAACACAUGAAGAGAUGUCUUCAAACUCACAUCCAUAUGAACAAGAGAUUAGAGCUCUGUUGGAGAAACCUCCGGUUGAGUUCGCCUUCGUUACCGGUGAAUUUAAUUUAAAGAUGAGUGGUUCUCACGUUUGGGUUGAGACGGAGUCUCAAUUGAAGGAGCUUGUCGAGGUAUUGAGGAACGAACGAGUUUUCGCAGUUGAUACAGAACAGCAUAGCCUGCGCUCCUUCCUAGGAUUUACGGCUUUGGUGCAGAUUUCCACUCAGAAGGAAGAUUAUCUGGUUGACACAAUCGCUCUCUACGAUGUAAUGAGCAUCCUUCGCCCUGUUUUUUCUAAUCCGAGUAUUUGCAAGGUCUUUCAUGGUGCUGACAACGAUGUCCUCUGGCUGCAGAGAGACUUCCACAUAUACGUGGUAAACUUAUUUGACACUGCAAAGGCAUGUGAGUUGCUAUCAAAACCGCACAAGUCUUUGGCAUAUUUACUUGAAACAUAUUGUGGUGUGAUGACAAACAAAAUGCUGCAGCGCGAAGACUGGAGGAUGCGACCACUAUCAGAAGAAAUGGUACAAUAUGCUCGUGUGGAUGCUCACUACCUGCUGUAUAUUGCCAAUCGUCUUGCCACUGAACUUAAGUCACAGGUUACUGAUAUCAAUUUGUCAGAAAAUUCAGCUUGUCUCGAUGAUAAAUUCCAUUUUGUUCUCGAGGCUAGCCGGAGGUCAAACAUGGUCUGUUUGCAGCUUUAUGUGAAAGAGAUUGAAGCUUCUCCUGGAGAUUCUGCUGCAUCAUCGAUAUGUUCACGUCAUUUGAAUGGACAAGGUUUCUUGUCAAGUUGUGAAACCAAGGAACUUGUGAGGCAAUUAUGCACAUGGCGAGAUUUAAUGGCUCGCGUGCAUGAUGAGAGCUUGAGAUAUGUAUUAUCAGACCAAGCCAUUGUUGCUCUUGCAUCCAAAGUUCCAAAGACUUCAAAAGAAAUAUUUGAUACCAUAUCUGAAGCUGAUAUAAACAUGGAUCUUUUGACCGCUGGAUCUUUGGUUUCAUCACCUUCACCUAUUGUCUGCAGUCAUUUGGAGGACUUUCAUUAUAUCCUUCAAGACAAGUUAGGCAGCCCAGAUGAAGUCUUUGAAAGAACUCUGCAAAAGUGUCUUGGCUCCAAUGGUAGUUGCCCACUUUCUAUUUAUAACUAUGCUUUAUUAUCCAAAUCAAACCUGAAAUCAACAAAUGGAUUAUUGGUCAAACAAAAGGGAAGUAAAACAGAAAAAAAGGUUGGUCGAAAGUCUUCUCGAGAGUUGUUUGUACAGAAAUUUUCCUGCAAAUCUCCUGUUUAUCAUAACUGUAGGAUUUAUGCAAGUGAUGGGCGGUUACUUUGUUAUUGUGACCGCAGAAAGCUCGAGUGGUAUCUUCGCCGUGACCUAGCAAAACUCAUUGAUGAUGAUCCACUGGCUAUAAUGCUUCUUUUUGAGCCAAAAGGUCGCCCAGAAGAUGAAGGAAAUGAUUUCUAUAUACAGAGCAAGAAAAAUAUAUGUGUAGGCUGUGGUGAAGGAAACCACUAUUUACGCUACCGAAUCAUACCCUCAUGUUACAGGAUGCACUUUCCAGAACAUUUGAAAAGUCAUCGUUCUCAUGAUAUUGUCCUACUUUGUGUGGACUGUCAUGAAGUUGCUCAUUCUGCUGCAGAGAAAUAUAAAAAACAGAUAGCCUCAGAAUUUGGUAUUCCACUUUAUGUCAGGAAAGUACUUGAUUCAACUCAAAAACAAGCCAUAACUGAGACAUCUGGGCCCAUGGAGAGAAUUGAGGAAGCAGGUGUGUCUCCCUUGCAGUUGCGAACUGCAGCUAUGGCUCUUUUGCGCCAUGGGCCAAGAAUGCCAGCAAAACGCCGUGAAGAGCUGACCCUGGUUGUCAUGAAAUAUUUUGGAGGGAGGGAAAUAUCAGAGGAAGAUUUAGAAAGGGCUUUAUUGGUUGGUAUGAGUCCUCAUGAAAGACGAAGGCUUGAAAAGAAAAGAGGGUUGUCCUUCAAACAUUCCAAGGAGAGUCUCCUUUCAAAUGAAACCAAUGGACCCAGUACUGGAAUCAUUGGCACAGCCGCUCUUCUUGAAACAUUGGAAACUGAUGUAUCAAAUGGUGCACCCAGUCCUAAAGAAUCAGAACCGAACGCAGAAGGAGACGAGAUUCUUUUCAAGGAAAUGGAUGCAUGUGCAAGAGAAGGAUCUAUGUAUUCUGGUAUAGAAGUGGAUCAGGAAACUUCCACUACUGGUACUGAGGAUCAGAACUUUGAGAGGGUAAAUGCUUGUGUUUUGGAAAAUGUUGGUUUUGAAAGCGUAGUAACAGAAACUGGUAAUUCCUCUCUCAAAUACAAUCCAAAAUUAUCAUUGCUGGGACAUGGGCCACAUGGAAAACAAGUGGUGGAUUAUCUACUAAAGGAGUACGGAGAGGAUGGAAUUCGGCAAUUUUGUCAAAGGUGGAGACAAGUCUUUGUGGAAGCCAUUAAUCCUCGUUUCUUACCUGCUGGUUGGGAUGUGAUGCACAGUUCCCCUGCUAUGAAUUUUGCUUAACAUGGAGGUUCUUACAACAUUAGUGUUACAAGACUGAGGUCAUCAUUUGAAGCUCUAUUACCAAAUGUUUGAUUGGUAGUCACAGUUUUAGCCCAACCUCAUCCGUUCCUCGGGCUGGAGAAGAAUUAAUGGAAGUAAAUAUCUAGAUGGUACAUCCUCAAAAUUUUCAGGAAAGUACAGACUAUGUUACGCAGAUAUGAUAAUACAGCAUGAUAUGGCAUUAGAUAUGGAAUUUAAAAAUUGAAAUAUCUGACACAAUACGGCAUCCUCGUACAGGGAUUUGGCGAGUACAGUGUGUACAAGCUCUGAUAUUGGAACAAUAUUUUUGCCAGCGGCCGACGGGAAUUUGGCGAGUACAGUGUGUAUAACCCUGCAAAGAGAGUUUUGAGUAUGGCUUAAUAAUGAUGGGUGAAAGGAUCAGACUGCCAGAGUACCAGGUGCGAGAGGGUGGAAUAAUGUAGUUCUUUAUGUUCACAUGAUCUGUAAUUGAUAGAGGUAACUUCUCUUCUGCUGCGUUUAUUUCAUCCAAAUUCUGGGUGAUUCACCGCAGGGGAAGUGUAAUCGAGUGAAUUCUACCCUAAAAGCUUUUCUAUAUUUCUUUUUUUUUUUUGGCAUAUCCCUUAAUUUAUUGAAUAUUUAAUUUGCUCCAUUAUGAUCAAUCUCUCAUGCGUUCAGUUA